rfam:Myotis lucifugus cont2.43213, whole genome shotgun sequence.
GGUGGUUUUCGGGUGACACACCCAGAAAUUGAGCUCCUUCCUCUCUGGUUCCGGGUGCAUCACCCAAGAACCAUG